AGAAGAAGAAGAGGGACUGCCGGACAUGGGAUGCGCACCAAGCAAGAGCAGGCAAUCGGCUCGAAAAUGUGCACUUGGAUAUGCGUUACUCAAUGUCGCAUUCCUGAUCGUCGAGGUGACGCUCAUGAUAGCGAUGGCAUCGCUUGGCAAUCCGAAUAGACAGAUUGAGCCUCAUGAUAUUCAGCUCGACAGCCAUGCUUGGGCGCCUUGCAGGAAUGCUCUUGUACGCCGCUGCCUACUUGCUCUACGACCCGUUCAAGGUGAGUGAAACAAUGAUCUCCAACGCUUCGAUUAAAUUAACCAAUCGCCUGCUAUGCUGCUACAUUGGGCCUCACAACGAGCCUCCCUGGCCUCG